GAUGAACGCUGGCGGCGUGCCUAAUACAUGCAAGUCGAGCGAACGAACGAGACUCUUUCUUCUCUUAUGUUAGCGGCGGACGGGUAAGUCACACGUGUAUAACCUGCCUAUAGGACUGACAUACCUUCAGGAAACCUGAUCUCAUACCCGAUCAUAUUUUGAACCUCAUGGUUCUACAGUGCAAGACGGUCUUGCUGACACUUAUAGAUAUAUCCUGGUUGCAUUAGCUAGUUGGUAAGGUAACGGCUUACCAAGGCUACGAUGCGUAGCUGAUCUGAGAGGAUGAUCAGUCACACUGGAACUGAGACACGGUCCAGACUCCUACGGGAGGCAGCAGUAGGGAAUAUUCGACAAUGGGCGAAAGCCUGACGCAGCCAUGCCGCGUGAGUGAUGAAGGUCUUCGGAUUGUAAAGCUCUUUUAUUAGGGAAGAACAGAUGUGUAAGUAACUGUGGCUAUCUUGACGGUACCUACAGAGAAAGCAACGGCUAACUACGUG
rnacentral:rRNA from 1 species